rnacentral:lncRNA from 1 species
CAAAGACUCAGAAGAAAAAUGAAUGAUUUACAAGGAAUCCUAAUAUAGAUUGUUUUCACUUAUUCCAGAAAGUGCAGUGCAUAGAAGUUCCCAAGUCCACUAUGGUUUUAUGAAUGUGCUCUUGUCACCUCUACUGUGAUUCCAAUGGCAUUGCACAGGAUACUGGCCUCAUAAGAGUUUGACACUUCAGUACCUACAUCAUGCUCUUGUGCUCUUUUGUUGGCAGCACAUACACUCCAUCUUGAUCUACAGGUGUAAUGACUACUCUUCUGAGAUGAGUUCUUAAUUAAUGCACAGAGAUCCUGGAAGUCCCACCUCUCAACAGUCAUGAUUGACAUCCAAGGAUACAAAAAUUGCACUAAUUGAGCUUUCCAUUUAUACACUUCUCUGCAGCCAGCUCGUCAGAAAAGGAGGGCACCAACUGGAGAGUCCGAAGGCUCCUUUCAGCUCUAGGCUCCUCUCAGCAGUCCAUCACACUACACGAGACACUGCAGAAACACAAGGCAGUCAGAUUCUUGGCUCAUUAGAGAUCCACUCCCAUGGAAAGCUGAAGGAGUCUAUUGCAAGGUGA